rnacentral:rRNA from 26 species
UUUAAUGACUCUCGGCAACGGAUAUCUCGGCUCUCGCAUCGAUGAAGAACGUAGCGAAAUGCGAUACUUGGUGUGAAUUGCAGAAUCCCGUGAACCAUCGAGUUUUUGAACGCAAGUUGCGCCCGAAGCCAUCUGGUUGAGGGCACGUCUGCCUGGGCGUCACGUA